rnacentral:lncRNA from 1 species
UAACUGCCUAGUACGAUUUUAUACUAAUUCGUACAAAUCUAUUCUGGAAUUUACGUCAUGAUCUUGGGUAUGUGGCGAGAAUAUUGUACUUCUAUAACAAACUCAUAGCGACACUGUUUUGGAGCUGGCCGUACUUGGCUCCAAUAUUCCUCGAACACUUAGGUCUUAGAUCCUCUUACUCUGCCCUCGAUCCCGGGCUUGGUCUUUAUCGAAUUCCUACCCUCGGUGCGGCGUAUCGAGCCUACUAAAUUGGGGUCUCCUGAGUUAUCUGCAUACAUGUAGGUUUUUGAGAUCCAUAGGGAUAAUGGUAAAUUCGGUAAACAUAGUACAUCUCAUAAAAUAUGUGACCUACUUUGAAAUUACCCUUUUUUCAAAAUUUAUUGAAAUUGCAUAAUUUUUAAUAGUAGUCGCUGAUAUUCUCUGCUUUGGGUAGGCAAAAUGAUAUUGUUGUACUUGUUAUUGUGCUCGAAUUGUGAGCCAGAGAUGGAGAAAUUACAGCAAUGGUGGUCGAGGAAGACAACUACAUAGUAUUAGAAAUGAAGGUUAUAAAAUGAAUUCCUUACUCCAUUUCAUAUCUCUGCAAUAUGUUAUAUACAAAGCGGACUUCAACCAAUUUAUUUGUGACAGCUCACUAACAGCUCAUCUAACUAACUAACCUAUUCUUAUCAAAUAAUUAGCACUACUCCUAACUGCAGAUAAUUCUACUAACUCUAACUAUAGUUAACUCAUACACUUAUUAAGCAACUCCACUCUAAAAAUUUCCCCUCAAGCUGGUUGUUGGAAAGACAUUAAGCACUCACAUUCUGGAAACCAAAUAUUUAUGUUGCGAUCUCAAUAGUGUUUUAGUUAUGAUGUCUACCUAUUGAUUACUUGAGCUGACAUGAUGUGUUUUCACUAUCCCUUGAUGAAUUUUUCCCUUAUGAAAGUACAAUUCACUUCUAUAUUUUUGUCCUGUCAAAAUAAACUCUACAAUCUGCAAUGUUUCUUUAUUGUCACAGUACAGAUCAACAGGUUCUCUCACUUCUGCUCCGAACUCCUUAAACAAGCUAAUUUGUCGCAUCAAUUCUGAUAAUGUAGAAGCCAUACUCAUGUAUUCUGAUUCUGUUGAGCUUCUUGAUACUGUAAUUUGCUUCUUUGAUUUCUAGAAAAUGAGUGGCUCCCCAUUCUUCACUACGAAGCCUGUAAUUGACUUCAUGGCAUUAGGGCAUGAUGCCCAGUCAACAUCACAUAAUGUUGUUAAUGUGUUGCCCUUUUUAAUACUCAUUAGUACUAUCGAUCCAGGUGUCAUCUUCAUAUAUUUUACCACUUUUAAAACUAUUGGGAAAUGGGAUUUUUUAGGUUGUUUCAUGAACUGACUAAGAGUUUGCACUGGAUAGGCAAUGUACGGCCUAGUCAUGGUCAGGUACAUCUAUGUUCCAAUCAACUUUUCAUGAUGCACUUUGUCUUCCAAUAGUUCAUCAUUUGUGUUCCAAACUGCUCUAUCAAGUUCCUUUUUUGAAAGCACUAAAGCCUAAGUUUGCUAUCAGUUCCAUAGUGUCUUUUCUUUGGUUCAUCAAGAUUACCUUAUGUGUUCUAGAGUAUUCAAUGGCCAAUAAAUACUUUAAUUCACCAAGAUCUGUCAUCUUGAAAGCUUGUUGUAAUUCCUUCUAAAUGGACUCUAUCAAACUCAUGUCACUAUCUGUGGUUAACAUGUCAUCAAUAUAGACUAAGACUACUACAAUUCUAUUGGCUUGUCUCUUAGUAAACAAGGAAUGAUCGAAUGAGUUUUUACUGAAGAGUAGGAUGAGGAGUGCAUUUGUUAACUUGACAUUCCGUUGUCUGCUAGCUUAUAUCAAUCCAUUUAAGAAUUUAACAAGUAUGCAUAUUGUAUUCUUAUCCCCUUGAAUUGUGAAACCUUGUGGAAGUUGCAUAUAGACUUUGUCAUAUAAGUCUUCGUGAGGAAAAACAUUCUAAACAUUCAUUUGGUGCAAGCGCCAAACUUCACUAGCUGCUAGACACAUCAUUGCCCUAACAAUGACAAUUUUCACUAUAGGAGAGAAAGUUUCAUUGUAGUCGAAUCCCUCCUAUUAACUGUAUAUCUUAUCUACUAGCCAGACUUUGUAUCGUUCAACAUCACCAUUAUCGCUGUAAUUAACUCUAUAGACCUAUUUGUACCCAAUAGGCACCUUGCUAGAGGGCAGUGCAAAUAGUUCCAAGGACUUGUUGUCUUCUAGAGCUUUCAACUCUGUCAGCAUAGCCGGACUGAAUUUAUAAAUGCUUCAUGAAAAGUCUAAGGUUCCACUAUGGAGGUGAAUGCAGGUAAGUAUUGCCUGUAGGAAGGUUUGAGCAUGUCAUAAGUAAUACUGGCGUGAAUGGAGUGUAUUGGCUAUGCUGUGCUCUUGGACUUUGAUCCAAUGAUGAAGUUUGUCAUCCAUGCUGGUUGGUGUUUGUGUUUUUAGACUGCCUCAGAGGCGCAUUAGAAGAAUUAGGUAAUGACAUUGCUGCAGAAGGUUGACAGAAAUGAGAAAUAUUAGUAGAUGAUCAGGUGCAAGCAAGAGAUCAUCAAAGGGUGCAGAUAGUGGGACAAUAGUAGGUGGUGAUGCAGUGUCUGGCACAUGGUAAGCUGACUCUCCAGUUGGUGAACUAUGUGUGACAGGAUCAGGCAACUCACUAUUUAUGCAAUGAUUGAUCUGGUAGGAUUUCAGAGUCUGCUGCACAGUGUAUCAAUUUCUAUAAUAUAAUAAUUAUCUUCCAUAUAGCGGUGUCCUCUGAAGGCAUCGCCCGAGCUGUAUCAUUUAAGAAGAUCUUGGAACUAUCAACAGAUUUGUGCUUGAAGAGGAACGUAUUUUCUCUUAAAGUAACAUCUCUAUUAAUAAAAAAGGAAUGGUUAGUAAAUCAUAUAUUAUAUAUCCAUUUGUUACUUCUGAGUAUUCCAUCAUUGCUACAGCCACUGCUUUUGGUCCGAAUUUGUCAUGCAAAUGUAGCCUUUUUGCUAACAUAGACGUCCCAUCACUCUUAGAUGACUCAUGGUAGGUCUUUUCCCAUGAAAGGCUUCAUAUGGACUAUUGCCUUUUAUAGUUGUUGAGGGCAUUCUAUUGAUGACGUAUGCUGCAACCAAAACAUAAUGACCCCGGAAUUUAAGUGGGAUUCCUCUCUGAAAUCUAAUAGACUCGGAAACUUCUAAAACAUGUAUGUGUUUUCUCUUUUCCACCCCAUUUUUCUGGGUGUGUAGACACAUGUUCUUUGAUGUACUAUCCUAUGAAAUAAUAAGAGCUCCUUGCAUUCAUUGUUUCGGAACUCACUUCGAUAGUCAGAUCUCAUAACUUUAACUGCUUUGUUGAAUUUUGCAUGCACCAUUUUCAAAAACUGUCUUCAAAUGACUACAACAACACUUUUCAAUUUCAGCAAAAAUAACCAAGUAACUUUAGAGUGAUCAUCAACAAUCAUAAUAAAUAAUUUAUUGCUAUCAUAUGAAAUGAUAAUAUAAUAUGUUUAGCUAAUGGGAAAACAGAAGUUUAUUGUAUUGUUUUAGUACUUUCUAUUAAGGGCAAAUAAAGAUAUUUUCUAAUCACUCCAACAGGUGCAUGCCUCAUUCUCUUGUGCCAAAAUCUGUUGUCUGACCUUGUGUUCAAACUCUUAGUUGAUAUUGUAGUGUUCGCAUUAGGAAAUUGAGUUAAUAGGUACAAGCCAUAAUCUUCCUUACCAAUCUCCCUCACUCUGCCAGUGGAAAGGUCGUGGAACACACAGAAAUCCGGCAAAACAAAAAAGAAUAGAACAUUGCAGCUCUUUAGUGAUCUAAGAUACCGACAAAAGGUUAUAUUUAAUAUCAGGAACAUAUAGCACAUUAUUCACUAAUGCCCUUGCUAUAUGGCAAGAUACAACAUGUGAUAUAUGAAUAACACUACCAUUUGGAAGAGGUGCCUUCUUAGUGUUAUUAAGUUUGAUCUUUCAAACAACAUGAUUAAAUAUUAAAUCAUAUGAUUUGUUGCUCCUGUAUCCACAAUCUAGUUUCUAGAAUCAGAAUUGAUCAAUAAUGCUUUGAUACUACCUACCAUAUUGGUUGAAUGUUCUACAUGGUCAUAUUUGAUGAGAAACUUUAGGAUUUGAUUAUACUGUAAAAGUAUGAAGUAUGGACUUGAUAAACCAGUUGCAACAUUCGUACUAUUGUUGUUUCCACCAAAAUCUGUUGCUCUAUGCUCUUCAACUGUCACAUUGUUAGCAGUGUUGUUGUUUCCAAAGUUAGGAGUAUUGUUUCUAAACCUCUUUUUAGGAUUAAAAUCAGCUGGAUAGCCUAUGAUGUUGAUGCAUUCUAAACGUGUAUGUCCCUUCUCUUACAAAAAUCACAUUGCAUAUUAUAAUUCCUCUUUUGUCUUUCAUGCCUCCACUCCUAGAACCCAUUAGAGAUGUCAUCUCUGCUCCUUCAGUAGAAAAAGAAGCAGUAGUCAUGCUCCUUUGACUCUCCGAAUUAGUGAGCAUGGAGUAGGCCUUGUUCAAAGUUGGUGCAUGCAUUAUCAUAAGAAUCUGGCUGCGAGCCUGUUCAUAAGAUUCAUUAAUCCCCAUGAGAAACUAUAGAAGCUUCAAUCGUUCCAUGAAAACGACAAAUUCACUUGACUUAGCAAGGUCACUAUCAGGAAUUGAGGCUAAACAAUCAAAUUCUUCCCAUAAUAACUUCAGUUUCGAAAAAUAUGUUGCUACUGAGCUAGUUCCCUGACUGGUCAUAGCAAUUUGCUUAUGAAUCGGGAAAAUCCUAGAGCAAUCUACCUUAUCAAAUCGCUCUUUCAAUUCAUUCCAAAUUCAACAUGUUUUUGAAAAAUAUACAAUUCCACUUAGCAGUUCAGCUAAAACAUAAUUCACUAUCCAUGAUAGGACAAUGGCGUUACAUCGUUCCCACAUAUCAACAAAAUUUGGACCACAGUCCUCCCUUUUGCAUGUACCUUUGAUGAAUCCUAAAUUGUUGCGAAAAAGGAUAAAAAUUCUUGUCCACAUGCUUUUUUUAAGAGGUAGGGAGUUUUUUCAAUUAAAGUGACGUUUUUGAAAUAGGAUAACUCAGAGUCAGCACUUCAAAUAAUUUAUGGUGUCCCAAGUCACCGGUUUAUUUUGAAUCCCAAAUCGAGAAAAUUUAAAUUUAUUUAAAGGUCCGCGAAACCAGAAGUCUGGAUAAGGAAUUCUGUUAACCUGAGAGAAGGUGUUAGGCAUUCAGGGGUUCCGUGAUUUUAGCACAAUCUCUCAACUAUUAAUAAUUGGCCUAAUUAUCUGAUUUAUUAUAUAUUUAAAAUCUAUUGUGUAUUUUCAAAAUUGAAUUGCUUUUAAUUAUUUAAUUAACCACUUUUAGUAUUCAUGAAAUUUAUUUGAACAAGUUACAAUGUCACUCACUCGUUUGUUUUUGCACAUGUUAUGAAUCGUGUCACAUGAAAUGCACAUGUGAUUUACAACAUGAUCAUUUUUAUUAUUAUUCGAAAUUGUGAUCGAGUUGCAUGAAAUGGUUACUUAAAUUAGAAUUUAUGUAUCGUGACUAUGCCACGGGAAUCUAUAGCCACGAUGAUUUAUUUAAUUAAGAAGGAGAUUUAACUUGUUCAUUUAUAUUUGCAAGUAAAACCAUCAUUACAAAAUCUUGUUUUCGCUGAAGAAGCCAUGUCUCUCUACAAGAAUAUUAUUAACAACUUAGCAUGGUAUUCCAUAACAAAAAAGAACACAAAAUAAGACCAACAAGUUUGAUCAAUAACUGCAGACUUUAACAAGACAAAAGAAAAUCAGAUAGAUAUUAAUUUGACUGGGGAAAUAUUUUUCACAUGCCAAUUCAAUAAUCAACCAUGAAAGGUGCAAAAGCGAACCUGGAAGCAAGCAACUCGACGACUCUUGACCGGCGCUUUCACUGGCGAAGACGGACGGAAUCGGAAACUCCAGACCUUACCGACAACCUCUAACUCUCCUUCGAUGUCCCUGUGUAUGUUCAAAGCAGGGCUCUUCGGGGGUACUUUAAUGGCUGUUUUGAGUUGGAUUUUCGAUGAGUCUUAGGUGCUAAAAAUCACUGGAAUUUAGAGGUGUUUCCAUGGAAUUUAGGUUAGUAGUGUAGGAAUUAGACGGAAGAAGCUCUUUUUGGAAUCGGGUCCUCUCCUUUCCCGUUCUUUUCUUCUUGAAGGGCAAAGCAGCUUUCCCUUUCUUAGGCUUAGAUGUUGGAAUUGUUGAGCAGUUAUAUAUAUAUUUUCAAGUCAAACUCUUUCUUUAUUUCUCUUAAUUUUUGAAUCUCCAAGAAUCUCUUAGACCGUGUUCUAUCCCUCUGUGCCUUUUCUGAGUUUCUGUUGUAGUUUUUAAGAAUGGGAGGGUUAUUGUAGAAGCUUUUUUCUUACAAGGGAGGGGGUGGUCCGUCGUUCUUAGCUUAGGAAUUUAGGUUAGCUUCUUCCCUCUCUUUCGUUCACUCUGUUUUUUUUGAGUGUGUGUAUAUUGUGUAUAUCAAAUUCCAACCAAAUUUGUUCUUGGGCAAGAAGAAAGGAUCGUAGUCGUAGAUGUAAAACGUAUGGACCCCCUCCUUUGUCACGUUCUCUCUGCCUCCCUCUUUUAAUUGUUAAUUGAAAUGGUAUCCUG